UAGGGAAUCUUCCACAAUGGACGCAAGUCUGAUGGAGCAACGCCGCGUGAGUGAAGAAGGUUUUCGGAUCGUAAAGCUCUGUUGUUGGUGAAGAAGGAUAGAGGCAGUAACUGGUCUUUAUUUGACGGUAAUCAACCAGAAAGUCACGGCUAACUACGUGCCAGCAGCCGCGGUAAUACGUAGGUGGCAAGCGUUGUCCGGAUUUAUUGGGUGUAAAGCGAGCGCAGGCGGAAUGAUAAGUCUGAUGUGAAAGCCCACGGCUCAACCGUGGAACUGCAUCGGAAACUGUCAUUCUUGAGUGCAGAAGAGGAGAGUGGAAUUCCAUGUGUAGCGGUGGAAUGCGUAGAUAUAUGGAAGAACACCAGUGGCGAAGGCGGCUCUCUGGUCUGCAACUGACGCUGAGGCUCGAAAGCAUGGGUAGCGAACAGG
rnacentral:rRNA from 1 species